rnacentral:tRNA from 1 species
GGAUUGUAGCUUAGUGGUAGAGCACUCACCUAGCAUGAAUGAGGCACUGGGUUCGAUCCUCAGCACCA